UACGGGGGGGGGCAAGCGUUGUUCGGAAUUACUGGGCGUAAAGGGCUCGUAGGUGGCCAACUAAGUCAAACGUGAAAUCCCUCAGCUUAACUGGGGAACUGCGUCUGAUACUGGAUGGCUUGAGUUUGGGAGAGGGAUGCGGAAUUCCAGGUGUAGCGGUGAAAUGCGUAGAUAUCUGGAGGAACACCGGUGGCGAAGGCGGCAUCCUGGACCAACACUGACACUGAGGAGCGAAAGCCAGGGGAGCAAACGGG
rnacentral:rRNA from 1 species